CCCUUUGAUACUCUGGGCGGCACGCGCGCUACAAUGGAUAACUUAACGUGUUACAUGUCCGAAAGGAUGUAUGCAAAUCACAAAUGUUAUGUCUCGAGUGGGAUAGUUUACUGCAAUUAUAGACUUGAACUAAGAAUCCCUUGUAGGUACACUGAAGCAUAGUGUACCGAAUACGUCCCUGCCGUUUGUACACACCGCCCGUCGUUUCUUCCGACUGAUACUCAUUGUGAAUUGCGGGGAUAACGUUGUUGAAAACCGUUGUAAAUGCUGGGUAUUGGAGGAAGAAAAAGUCGUAACA
rnacentral:rRNA from 1 species